rnacentral:lncRNA from 1 species
GAAUUUUUUAAUAACUGAAAUAGGAAGCCUUUAGUAGGGGCUUCCUGUUAAUUUUGAUGUAAAAAACUUGGUCCACAAGUUAUUUAACUAAAGGACUGAAUUGAAAAGCUAAAACCUGAGGAUUGCCCUAAUACUUGCUUAUAAAAGGCCUUCUAACCUUGCCUUUCAACGCAAGUUUUUGAGGUUGGGCGAGGGAUAAAAUUCUGAAAAAAAGGCUAAGAAGCUAAGAUAUUGAAAUAACUGUUUCAUUCAUUUUUGGACUAAUUUCUUAGAAUAUUCAAACUCUGAAGCACUUUUUGGUUGGUUUGAGAUUAAGUAUGGGUGGAUGUUAGGUUUCUGUGAAAGUUUGUGGUUCGAGCUGAUUGAACACUACAAUUUUGUUGGGUUAAGCUGAAUUCCUUGUUCUAAGUUGUUGAAUCUGGGUUCAUCUCUGUUUUUCCGUUGUUGAUUCCUAUUGCUCUGCUGAUAACUUACUUUUAUUUUGCUUCCUUUAAACCCCAUGUACAUGCCUUUGAACUUUGAUGAUUGUGAUUUCAUAAUGAAGAUGCAAUGACAAUUUGAAGCAUGGUACCAGUCUGCAUUGUUUUUCUUUUACUUCUUUCCUAAUGCUCAUAUACUUAAUCAUCUACUUUAAUGUGAUCUAGUUGUUUCCAGUUGGAUUAGAUAGGUUGUUGUAUUGAAAUGGAACCAUGGACUGUUAUUUUUAUUUGGAUUGGAUAGGUUGUAAUUCAACUAUGGACUGCUAUAAUUUGGGACUGUCAGAGAAUUUCAGUAAUAUAUCUCUUCACAAGAUAUUUCAGCUUUAAAGUGGUUUAGAAUUAUGUUAUGUUCAUGUGUGAUUUUAUACUCGAACAUUUCCGGGUGGUGACCAUAUGGUUUAAUGUGUUAGAAAUACUAUGAUAUAUUGUUAAGUGUAAAUGGGUUAUUAAGUAAUCAUGUGUUCAUAGCAACUAUAUGUUGAUUUAAUUCUCAAUUGUUAAUUUCCUUGCAAAUAAAGCUUCCCUAACUCACUUCCUUGUUCAAGUACUCAUAUCUAGGGUGGAAACCAGCCGAAGAAUGUAAUAGAAGUGAUGGUCAUGUUUCUUUGCAUAUUGGAGGGACUUUGAGAGGGUCUAGUCGUGAGUCUUUCGUUUACAGCAGUGAACUCAUU